CUAGAUGGUACAUCCCAGCCUCUCCUCCUCAUUCUCCUCCCUCCUGCUUUCAGUGUCCUCCAUCUCUCCGCUUUCUCUCAUUUUCUUAUAUUAAGGACAUUUCCACUUCCAGAGACCGCUGCAGUUCUUCCUUCCUUCGUCUCACAAUCUUGUUAUCUCUACAGAUCUGUUGGAAAGCGAAGCAGCACAGAGCUGACCUUAUAAAGACUCCUCCUGACCAGACCACACCUCUGUCCCUGAGUCCAUGGAAGCCAAGGCCAAGACCGGGGCUCCAGCGCCUAAGGCGGGAUCUAAAGCAGAGAAAAAGGAGCCAGCAGCCCCACGCAAGGCUGACCCUGCCCCUGAGCCCGAGCAUCCUCCCCCCCAGGAUGGGGCAGCAGAAGCUGAAGCAGCAGCAGCAGGCGACGAGGCUGCGGCCUGCGGCACAGACUCUUUGGAGCACCUGAAACCCUUUCUCAUCGGUGGUGCUGUUAUCGCUGCAGGAGCAAUCUUGCUGGGGGUGUUGCUACUGGCGAGGAGAAAUUAAAACCAAAUUAUUGUCUCACAUUAAAGUAUUUAUUGAUUUAUGGUUAGAGCCUUGUUGCUGAUUGGUUCACAGACUAUGUCAGUACACAUGGGGGUUGGGGAGCCACAGUGCAUUUUAUGUUUUUUUUUUCUAUUUGUUUGUUUAUUUUGGCCUGCUUUAACUUGUUGUGAAUCAAACCAUUCAAGUUUUAAUCAAGGCUGUAUAUGGAGCAUAAUUACACGUAGUAUAUGCAUGAAGUUGCUUCAAUAUUGCAUCUGUAAUAAUAACGUAUUUCUUAAAAAAAAAAUCUCACACUGUAGUACUGAGCUUAAAAGCCUAAACUCUCUAAAGGUAGCUUAUUCAACUGCUUUAUCUUAUUUAACCAGUUUGCACAAGUAUUGACAUAAGCUUGCAAUAUUUGUACAUUCUUGCACUGGCAAUAAGCUUGGUUCACUUUGCUAAAAGAUCAUGAAAAACUGUAUUCAUAAUGUUGAAACUUAUCGAUAUUAAUACUGGCUCUCAGAGUUGUUGUAGGUUUUAUUUUACUUUAAAGAAGACAGCUAAAAGAAUAGGCCAGGAAACAGCAGGAAAAUGCAUUAUGAUAUUGCACAUAUUUUAGCUAAAUUAGUGCCUAAAUAAAAAGACACUGAAUCCCUGCAUAUCCAAAUGUCACGUGGAAAACAGCAUAGUGGAAAUAAAAAAAAAAAAAGGUUUUCAGAGACAGAAAAUAUAAGCAUGCAGUGAUUUUAGGAAUGGGAACUAGGGGAUUGUUGGAGAUAAAACAUGCAUAGUAUGUGUCAGAGAACAUUAGUGAAGUUACUUCUUGCUGUAGAAUAAGAAAGAGUUUAAUUUUACUGUCAAACGAUGUCACAAAUCAAUAACCUUUCAUGUCUUACACUGAAAGCCGACAGGCAUGCUGGUUCAAUCUGUUUGCAUCCUACAGUAGAUGUAGCUGUAGCAGGCUGAACAGCCAUUAGCGUUGCAGUAUCAGGUUUAAAGCCUGCUGCCGAGAAAUUUGAGUUGUUUCUGUCUUGAGUGUGCUCGCCUUAUGUUAGGAAAAAUCCUUGUUUUCAAAACCUAAUGACAAAGUACAGCUAUAACGUAAUGACUGCAUCCUAGGCUGUUAAUACAAUGAAAGUGGGGUGUAGAUGAGCUACUGUUGUAUAGUUAAUCAAAAGAAAAAACAAACGAACUGUAACGCAGUUACACAAUUUUGUUGCUGCACACACUUACCUGUACAGCUGUACACAAUAUUGUCCACUCAUGUUAAGCUCAUCGGGAUGUCGCAUAACUAGAGAGCAGAAAGACAGCUCUGACACAUGCCAUAUGAAUUUUACCACGCAUUACUGACCUAAAAUAUUGUACAAACAUACCACAUUCAUCCUAGUCAACACCCCAAACACAUCCAAAAGAUAGUAUGCCAACACCAAAACAAACUUCACCUUACAUUGUACAAUGCAGUGUACCAAAAAAAAAAGAAAGAAAAUCCUAUUUUCAUAAUUUCAACAGCGUAUAAAUGCAAUAAUUCAGAUAGGACUCCUCAUUUAGCACAUGUACUGUAGCAAGUUAAAUUACAUAAAUGAUGAUGUAUGAUGUUAGUGAUGGGAUUGGCUGUGACGUUACAGAUAAUGAUGAUGAUGGCAAUGGUAUGUUUUUCAUGAUGACUGUAAUGAUAAUGAUGGUUAUGAUAUAUUUUUGAUAUAUUUCUAACAUUUUCCUUAUGCACACUCCCCUCUGCUCCCAAACUCUAAAAUGUAAAAGAAAAAAAGAAAAAAAAGAGGUUGUAAUCUAAACUUUAUUAAAGUCAGUGAACCAGUC